rnacentral:rRNA from 1 species
GAUAAACGCUGGCGGCGGCACAUAAGACAUGCAAGUCGAACGGAAGUCGUUGGUAAUGAUGUUGAAAAGAACGGAGAACUUGUUCAAAGGAAAUGGAAAUUGACUUACAACAAUGGCUUUAGUGGCGGACUGGUGAGUAACACGUAAGCAACCUGCCUGUUAGAGGGGAAUAACAGCGAGAAAUCGUUGCUAAUACCGCAUAUGCCAUAAUAGUCACAUGACUAUAGUGGGAAAGGAGUAAUCCGCUAACAGAUGGGCUUGCGUCUGAUUAGAUAGUUGGUGAGGUAACGGCCCACCAAGGCGACGAUCAGUAGCCGGACUGAGAGGUUGACCGGCCACAUUGGGACUGAGACACGGCCCAG